rnacentral:rRNA from 1 species
UACGUAGGGUGCGAGCGUUAAUCGGAAUUACUGGGCGUAAAGCGUGCGCAGGCUGUUCUGUAAGUCAGAUGUGAAAUCCCCGAGCUCAACUUGGGAACUGCGUUUGAAACUACAGGACUAGAAUAUGUCAGAGGGGGGUAGAAUUCCACGUGUAGCAGUGAAAUGCGUAGAGAUGUGGAGGAAUACCGAUGGCGAAGGCAGCCUCCUGGGCCAACACUGACGCUCAUGCACGAAAGCGUGGGGAGCAAACAGG